ensembl:misc_RNA 7SK 7SK RNA
GGAUGUGAGGACAAUCUGGCUACAACAUCAUGCACUCUCUUGAUCUCUAAGGUUAAUUAGGUUGAUCUGGCUGACUGGGCAUGCUACUUCCUCUCAUUGUGCCAUGUGUGCCCCUCUAAGCUGUGUGCUUGGUUGAAGAGGAUCAGUUUCCUUGAAUAAAGACAGAUUGGUCUUUGGCUGAGUGUAUUUGAGUAGUUGUACUCCCUUGCUAGAACCUCCAGAGAUGCUCUCAAGGCCCAAAAGUACUACAUAUAAUCAUAAUGAUGAUGAUAAUGAUGAUAAUGUUGUAUCUUUUAUU